rnacentral:rRNA from 1 species
GACGAACGCUGGCGGCGUGCUUAACACAUGCAAGUCGAACGGUGAAGCUCCAAGCUUGCUUGGGGUGGAUCAGUGGCGAACGGGUGAGUAACACGUGAGCAACCUACCCUGGACUCUGGCAUAAGCGCUGGAAACGGCGCCUAAUUCCGGAUAUGACAUCGACCCGCAUGGGUACGGUGUGGAAAGUUUUUCGGUCUGGGAGGGGCUCGCGGCCUAUCAGCUGGUUGGUGAGGUAAUGGCUCACCAAGGCUUCGACGGGUAGCCGGCCUGAGAGGGCGACCGGCCACACUGGGACUGAGACACGGCCCAGACUCCUACGGGAGGCAGCAGUGGGGAAUCUUGCACAAUGGGCGAAAGCCUGAUGCAGCGACGCCGCGUGAGGGAUGACGGCCUUCGGGUUGUAAACCUCUUUCAGCAGGGAAGAAGCUUUUUGUGACGGUACCUGCAGAAGAAGCACCGGCUAACUACGUGCCAGCAGCCGCGGUAAUACGUAGGGUGCGAGCGUUGUCCGGAAUUAUUGGGCGUAAAGGGCUUGUAGGCGGUUUGUCGCGUCUGCUGUGAAAAUUCGGGGCUCAACCCCGGACGUGCAGUGGGUACGGGCAGACUAGAGUGUGGUAGGGGAGACUGGAAUUCCUGGUGUAGCGGUGAAAUGCGCAGAUGUCAGGAGGAACACCGAUGGCGAAGGCAGGUCUCUGGGCCACUACUGACGCUGAGAAGCGAAAGCAUGGGGAGCGAACAGGAUUAGAUACCCUGGUAGUCCAUGCCGUAAACGUUGGGCGCUAGGUGUGGGACUCAUUCCACGAGUUCCGUGCCGCAGCUAACGCAUUAAGCGCCCCGCCUGGGGAGUACGGCCGCAAGGCUAAAACUCAAAGGAAUUGACGGGGGCCCGCACAAGCGGCGGAGCAUGCGGAUUAAUUCGAUGCAACGCGAAGAACCUUACCAAGGCUUGACAUGUACCGGAAUCGCUCAGAGAUGGGCGCGCCUUUUGGGUCGGUACACAGGUGGUGCAUGGUUGUCGUCAGCUCGUGUCGUGAGAUGUUGGGUUAAGUCCCGCAACGAGCGCAACCCUCGUUCUAUGUUGCCAGCACGUGAUGGUGGGGACUCAUGGAAGACUGCCGGGGUCAACUCGGAGGAAGGUGGGGAUGACGUCAAAUCAUCAUGCCCCUUAUGUCUUGGGCUUCACGCAUGCUACAAUGGCCGGUACAAUGGGCAGCGAAUCCGUAAGGUGGAGCGAAUCCCAAAAAACCGGUCUCAGUUCGGAUUGGGGUCUGCAACUCGACCCCAUGAAGUCGGAGUCGCUAGUAAUCGCAGAUCAGCAACGCUGCGGUGAAUACGUUCCCGGGCCU